rnacentral:rRNA from 1 species
UUGGAGGGCAAGUCUGGUGCCAGCAGCCGCGGUAAUUCCAGCUCCAAUAGCGUAUAUUAAAGUUGUUGCAGUUAAAAAGCUCGUAGUUGAAUUUCGGGAUUGACGUGACGGUCGUGCCUUAGGGGGUAUGAACUGUCGCAGUUGAUUUCUCACCUUCUGGAGAAGCAUGAUGUCCUUAAUUGGGUGUCAUGUGGAACCAGGACCUUUACCUUGAAAAAAUUAGAGUGUUUAAAGCAGGCAUUUUGCUCGAAUACAUUAGCAUGGAAUAAUAGAAUAGGACGGCAUGGUUCUAUUUUGUUGGUUUCUAGGAUCACCGUAAUGAUUAAUAGGGAUAGUUGGGGGCAUUAGUAUUCAAUUGUCAGAGGUGAAAUUCUUGGAUUUAUUGAAGACUAACUACUGCGAAAGCAUUUGCCAAGGAUGUUUUCAUUAAUCAAGAACGAAAGUUAGGGGAUCGAAGACGAUCAGAUACCGUCGUAGUCUUAACCAUAAACUAUGCCGACUAGGAAUCAGACGAUGUUAAUUUUUUAAUGACUCGUUCGGCGCCUUACGGGAAA